rnacentral:rRNA from 1 species
AUUGAACGCUGGCGGCAGGCCUAACACAUGCAAGUCGAGCGGAUGAAGGGAGCUUGCUCCUGGAUUCAGCGGCGGACGGGUGAGUAAUGCCUAGGAAUCUGCCUGGUAGUGGGGGAUAACGUCCGGAAACGGGCGCUAAUACCGCAUACGUCCUGAGGGAGAAAGUGGGGGAUCUUCGGACCUCACGCUAUCAGAUGAGCCUAGGUCGGAUUAGCUAGUUGGUGGGGUAAAGGCCUACCAAGGCGACGAUCCGUAACUGGUCUGAGAGGAUGAUCAGUCAAAAUGGAAAUGAAAAAACGGCCAGACUCCCACGGGAGGCAGGAGGGGGGAAUAUUGGGACAUGGGGGAAAGGCCGAUCCCGCCCAGGCGGGGGGUGGAAGAAGGGCUUCGGGUUGGUAAACCACUUUAGGUGGGAAGAAAGGGCGGAAGGUAAAUACCUGCUUUUUUGAACGUACCAAAAGGAUAAGCCACGGCCAAACUCCGG